GAUCAUUUCUAUCAAGAGGUAAGGAACGCACCUCCUCACAGCAUGGAGGCAGGAAUGAAAGGCUCUGUUUCUAUUUUCAGGUGAAAGGAAGGUCUUACCAUUCAAGGGAGGAUGAGAGGCUGCUGAAUUUAAGAAAAAAGAAGUCAGACAGGUUUUGCUCUUCUGAGAUAUGAAGAGACCAGGUGGUCAUUCCUACCAGGGAGAAGUGAGGCUUAGUGGCAUGGCUGUCCUGGGCAAGGAGACAAAAAAGCCACUUCAAAUAGUUCAGCUAGUCGCAAAUCUGAAUCAAGUCAGCAGAACAUCACAGACAUGGAGAUGAGAGAAAUGCAGAUGAGUUGAACGUUGAGGGUGUGAAAUCUUCAGGACGUUGCUAGAAGAUCUGGGAUAUCUACAGAAAGGAAACAAGCAAAACUCGUCACUGUUACCAAGAGGAGGAGAGUUACAGAUGCUCAGGAUUUGAGUACAAAGGAAUAGGAAUGGAGCUGAACAGAUCCAACACCUGAAAAGACGAUUGGAUCUCAAAAUAUGAAAGACCCUUCAUUCAAUAAAGCAACAGGAUUGGCUCUGAGGAGAGGUAAGCAGCAUUUGGAAAGAGCCAGCGUGGACAAUAUUCAAGACAGAAUGUUCAAAAGUUGCUGCUGGGAUGGAAGUAAAGAAGAAAGCCCUGGAGACGGGUUAGUGCUGGGACACAGACACUAUCCUGGAGGGGCCUGGGACAGGGUAUGUAACCAUAGCGACCAGCGGGUCCUUUCCCCACUGUGGUCCUGGCUCGCAUGCACAGGGUGAAACCGAUCGCCAUGUUUGGGGUCAGGAAGGAAUUUUCCUCCAGGGCAGAUUGGCCAGAGACCCUGGAGGUUUUUCGCCUUCCUCUGGGGCAUCGAGCAGGGACCAGCCCUUAGGGCCAUUUACGAACAGACAUAAUAAAAUCAGAGAGAACUUGUC